CGUCGUCCUCUCCUCUCUCUUUCGUUCUCUCUCUUGCGUGACGAGCCUCCGCAAAAUCCUCUUCGGACAAGAUGGAUCUCUUCCUUCGUCUCUGUUUCUGAUCGAUUGCUUCGUGGUUCGAUCGGGUCCGAUUGCUUGCUUGGUCUGAUUUACGAAGCAUCUGUUUGACGUGUUGCGGAGAGUCGUGAGGGUUUUGCGCUUGGUCAUCGGAUUUAUUCGGUUUGAGCUCGUCCUUUUUAUCAUCUAUUAUUCCUCGACUGGUCGCUUGCUUGCGUUGUUGCUUUACGUGGCUUAUUCUGAACCUUUCUGUUAGUCGGUGAGUUGAUGAACUGGUUGUUGUCUCUGAUCACAUCGUUUUUUCUUCAUUUUUUUUUUUUUUUUUGUCUUUGGGAGAUGAUCGUGGUCUUGUUCCAAUUCUUUCACUGGCUGCGAUUUUUCCGGGCUCGAGAAGUGGUGUAUCUGUUGCUCUGUGAUUUCAAUAUUUGGAUGGUGAUUUUAAUUCGUAUUUAUAACCUAUUUUACCCAUCAAGCAUAGCUGUUGAAUCUAUUUAUAAAUAAGAUCAACAUUCGCAACAUGAUCCUUUUGUUGUAGAUGAUUUGUUUGCCAGAUAAUUUAACUUUUGGUUCUGAAUCAUCUUUUUCUCAUUGGCUAUAAAAGGGUGGUUUAUGUUCUUUUUUCUUAUUGGAAUUGUCAAACAAUUUCGUUUGACUUGUUAUAUUGCCCUAAAAGGCACGGAUUUUGUAGUAUCCAGGCAGUCUAUUGCGAGAACAGAAUUGGUUCAGCUCCGAUUGAAUUUGUAUGAAUGUCUUGAGGUUCAUCAACAUUAUCAUUGGCAUUGCUUUCUCUCUGACCAGCUGCUGUCUAUUUCUUAGCCAUAAAAAAACCGUGUUGCUUCAUUUACGUUAGUUAGAACUAUAAUUAGGAAGUAGAGUAUAAUAUAAUAAUGUAUCAUAUAUGAUUUACAAAAAUAAUAUUUUAGAGGUAUAUGAUUUGUAUUUCGAACUCAAAAAUUCAAAAUACCCUCUUUUGAUCACGAAAAAAACAAAAAGAUGACUGUUAUAAACGUCUCCUUCCUAUUAUAACCCAACCGUCGUCCUUCCUCUGCUCCUCAUGGGAACUAUAAUCACACCGAGCUGGUCAGUCUCUCUCUCAUUUGUUCUCUCUCGCGUGAUGGGCCUCUGCAAAAUCCUCUGCGGAGAAGAUGGGUCUCUUCUCUCGUCUCUGUUUCUGAUCAAUUGUUUUAAUGGUCUGAAGCUUGGCCUCUCUGGGACGAUGCCAGUAGUCAUCAGAAUUUUUUGGUUCAAAUCUCAUCCUUCGAUCAUCCAUCGAUUCCUCAACUGCUCAAUGUGUUGUCGUUUUACAUGGCUUAUUCUGAACCUUUUUGUUGUUCAGUGGAUUGGCAGUAUCCUUGAGGAUGAUGAAUGGUGACAAUCGUUGCCGUCCUUUUCUCUUUUUCUUUUUUGGUUGAGAUGAUGAACUGGUAGUAGUCUCUGAUCACAUCUUUUUAUCUUCAUUUUUUUUUUUUAAUCUUUGGGAGAUGAUCAUGGUCUAGUUCCAAUUCUUUUCAGUAGUAUUUUGCUGGGUUCAAGAAGUGGUGAUCUGUUGCAUUGUCUCUGUGAUGCCGGGCAGAAAGUUUCUAACUUUUCCUUCUGAUUUCUUAUGAUAUUUCAGUAUUUGGAUGGUGAUACUAAUUCGUAUGUAUGACCUAUUUUACACAUCAAGCACAGCUGUUGAAUCUAUUUAUAAAUAAGAUCAACAUUUGCAACAUGAUCCUUUUGUUGUUGAUGAUUUGCUUGCCAGAUAAUUUAACUUAUGGUUCUGAAUGCAUCCUUUUCUCAUUGGCUAUACCUUGGUUUGUGUUCAUUUUUCUUCUGCUUGGAAUUGUCAAACAGUUUCGUUUGAUUUGUUAUAUUGCCCUCAAAGGCACGGAUUUUGUAGUAUCUGGGUGCGAGAACAGAAUUGGUUCAGGUCCUGAUUGAAUUUGUAUGAAUGUCUUGAGGUUCAUCAACAUUAUCUGGUUCAAGUUUCCCUCUGAUCAUUUUAAUUAAUAAAAUUGCCUGGGUGAAACGCAUGGACCUAUUCAGCAGUUGUCUGACUAUGUACCUUAUCUCUAUCAGAUGAUUCAACCUUACACUUGCGAUGUGGGGUAUUGAUUGCAAUGAUUCACCAAUAUUAUGGCAGCUCAGAUUAUCCAUGUCUCCAUUCAAUUUGUUUGGUUCACACUGUAAUUACUUCAGGGAGUUCUCUCUUCUGGAUGCUCUUAUUUUAAUCUUCUCCUGGUCUAAUUUGCCUCACAAAUGAUUUUCAUAUCCUGUUUAUUGACAUUGUGAAUUACUUGGCCACAAGUUUCCUCAAUCCCUGCACAUGGAUUCUCCAAUUACACUCCAAAACUUGUCAAGGAGUACCAAUUUCUCCUCAGGAAGAUGUCUUACUUUGAAAGUCGAUGUGGAUCUCUCGGUCAAUGAAUGACUAACCCUGUUCAAUAAAUUUCCAGAAACAUGAACUAACUUAUGUGAUUCUUCACUGAGAACACAGAACUGGCGGCUGGACAUAUUACACUCCUACUAGAAGGGAUUCCCUGAGUCGUUCCUGUCCUAAGCACCCACAAUGGUCACCCCCUUUCCUGUGCUUCAAAUUUUUGGUGUUUCUUUUGAACUUCUUUUUCCAAUUUCUACUCCGGGAGUUGGUGUCACAUAUGCAGAAUUUUUCAAGGGAGUGAUCCUGGUGGAAUUAUGUUUCGAUUGGCUGCACUUGGAAGUAUUUUUGAUAUUUUUCUUUAAAUUAGUUGACAGCAUGGUUAUCGGAAAUGCCAUUAGAUCUAGAAGUAAGUAUGCUUAUGUCCAGUUUCUGGUACUAUUGACAACCUGUAGUAAUGCUGAGCACUUCUGAGUUUUUGGUAUAGUAACCUAGCUCUUGUUUUAAAAUGAAUGUUCUGGAAGCAAGUACUUAUGUCCUGUUUCUGGUACUAUGGACAACCUGUAGUAAUGCCGAGCACUACCAUGUUUUCACUAUGGUAACCUAAUUCUUAUCUAAAAAUGAAUGUUCUGGAUUCAGUUUACUACCUAUUUACCUCGAGUCAUCUGGCCAUAUGGUGAAGCUAUCUCUAAUUCUGCUUUGUAAGUAUUUGUCCUAUUACUCAUUUUCCUUCUCAUUGAUGCCAUUUGAUCCGGUUCUAUCUUUUUGUUUUUGUUUUUUUCCUUUUUUUGGUUGAGUUGAUGAACUGGUAGUAGUCUCUGAUCACAUCGUUUUUUCUUCAUUUUUUUUUUUUUUUAAAGUCUUUGGGAGAUGAUCGUGGUCUAGUUCCCAUUCUUUCACUGGCUGUGAUUUUUCCGGGCUCGAGAAGUGGUGUAUCUGUUGUGUUAUCUCUGUGAUCAUGGUCUAGUACACCAACUUUGAUUUCUACAGAGCACCGGUCGCGAAUUGGAGGGUUUCGCUGUGCUGCGCUAUGGUUCCUCACCCGCCGAAUCCAGAAGAGCUUCCUAAAGGUUGCUGGUAACCUGGUCGCAAAAAAGCUGAUGCUCCAUUUCACAACAUUCACGAACGUAAGAUGCAUGAUUCAAUUAUCUGCGUGCUCUGAUGAGACUGGGGAUUACCAUCUUCGGAUUGCUAUCGGAAGCUCUGGGACGGAAUCCCAAGCAUCUCAAAGACAUGGGCUGCGCCAAAGGACUGUACUUCAUCGGACACUACUAUCCGAUAUGUCCUGAGCCGGACUUGACUCAAGGUCUGAGCAAGCACACUGAUAGCGCCUUCCCCACAGUGGUGUUGCAAGACCAGACCGGCGGCCUUCAAGUCCUCCAUGAAAAUCGCUGGGUAGGCUCACUUAUUAGUAUCGUUCUUGAAAGUGUAGAAAACUAUCUGCAUCCGUGGAUUUGACAUUCUGAGGGAGAGAAGAUAGAUUAGCUAAUAGAUUGGGCUAUCUUUUGUGCAGCUAUUUGCCAGUGGUAAGUUCAAAAACGUCUAUCACAGAGUACUGGCAAAGAUUAUCGGACCGAGGAUCUCGGUGGCCUGCUUCUUUAAAACGCAUUUUGGGCAAGAUGAUUCUCCCAGAAAGUAUGGGCCAAUCAAGGAGUUGUUAUCCGAAGAAAACCCUCCAGUCUAUCGAGAAAUGACUACAAAAGACUAUGGGGGUGUUUGGUUGGGCAUUCCCAAAGCCCCUUGGACCCCCAAAGUCCCUUGGGGGAAAAUUUUAGUAUUUGGCAAAUUAUUUGGAAGCUCCUUUGCCCAAGUAUGAGCAUUCGGAAUGCUCAAUGCCAAUGCUGGGGAGGGGUAGCAUUGGGCAUUCGGCAUUUGGGAAAUGCAACGCCUACCGUUCAUCA